UGUCUUGUUUACAGUUUAAUUGGUGGAUCUGUGGGUGUGUCUUUGGAGCUUCAACGUGCCAGCUCAGUCUUUAAAUUGUUAGUUUGUCACCUGCAAAUUAAUUUUGGUUCUAGGACAUUUAUUGUCACCUAGUUAAUAUUUGAAGAAACCCAUAACUGCACUCUGUUUAAAAGCUGAUUUCUAUGUCAUGUGAACUAGUCACAUGAACUCCUGUUAACUUCAUUUGUUGAUGCUGAACUGCAGACGCACACUUUGACUCAUAUCGAUACACUUUAUUGGUAUUCUUUCCACUAUUAUCGAGCGGCUUUAUAUAAUAUUCUUUGUACUACUGUACAUGUAUGUGUGUCUUUACUUGUGUAGAGUUACUUGUGGCUCCAGUUGUCCUCGUGCUCAUGUUGGUUGUGUCAUUUCUUUCUCACCUUCUCUCAGGCUUACUUCUGCACCCUGAUGCUCCUCAAUCAGCUCUAAUGGAUCUUCUGGCUCAGAUUCAGCUCGAGAACUGAUUGUGAUACAAGACACUCCAAUACGCACGCAUAAAGCACACGUAGGCCAGGGCGGAGCUGCGGGCAGAUAUACGUCACGAUGAGCUCAGAGGGAAAGCGGGACCUUGAUUCCAAGAAUUCCUGCUUAUCUCUUCAGGUUGGUCUGGGAAAAUGAGCUCACAAAGAAAUCAGAGAAGACAGCUGAAGCAGAUAAAGUGCAGUGAAGGAAAAGUGUCUUAAGACUUUUAUAAAUGAAGGAAAUUUCCACCGGCUGCUGUUGAUGACAGUCCUCUGCAGAAAACCCUCCCCCAACAAUCUCCUCCUCCCGUAAAGGCCUGGAUAAAUGGAUUGACUUUUGGACAAGUGACAGUUCCCCCCCCCAUAAUUGUUAAUUAUCAUGAGUGCUCUCUGAGGUACUUUCUAUGAAUGGAGAUGGAACUCGCUCUCUUUCUCCACCCUCUGUUCUCUUUAUGGGAUUGCUCCAAGUCCUCAAGGACGUCAAGAAAGGACACUGAUAAUGUAGGGAGGCGGUGCGGCGGAUGGGUGGGGCACCUGCGUCAUUCCUGCGCUAUUCCGGAGCUGGUGAAUUUUAUGGCAUCGGACGCCAUUAAGGUACACCACCCAAGUCUUAUCUGCCCCGCCUGAUCACGAGCAAGUCUGCCCACCCUCGGAUGGCUCCUCCCUGAGUCCAGAUGACAGAGAGUCCAGCACUUAAAGUAAUGUAAAUAACCAGAGAGGAGAGCUAUUUUAAGAUGCCAUCAUUCACUGUGGACAAGGAGGGGAACAAAGAUGCAAGCCAAGCGAUUGUAAUUUCAGUCACGUUUUUGGACGUUUUCUUGUUCCUCAGUCUGCCAUCCAGCUAGCUGAAGGGCCUAACAAACAACAACACGUCUGGAGAAGCAAAUUCAUGUUCAGCCUGUCCCUGCAUGAAAGAAAGUCUACAUGUCAAAAUAACUGACAGCGGGGGGGUCGCAAGUGGUUAGCUCGCCAGAAUAUAAGGAAAUGAUUACAAUUGGCUGUAAUACUCUAAAAUAACAGAAGAAAUAGAUAUCUGAGGCUUUUUCUGGUCUUUGUUCCUUCUUUUUGUAAAUUAUAGGUUAUUUUUUUCUAAUUUAGUGUGAGUGAAUAAUAACCCUUUUGGUUGAACCCCUGCAAUAUGAGUCACAGCAAUCACAUGCCAUUAAGGUUGGAAACCACUACCAUAAAACCCCCACAACAAGACCUCAUCCCUGAAAGCUCACGGUUCUCUGUGCGUUUCGUUCCCAACUGAAUAAAACAGAGAAAGCAGCUAAAAGAAAUAUAUAAAGAAAUAUAGAAAUGGACGUGCUUAAUGGAAAUAUGACAACUUCAAAUUUUCAGUAUUAAAGAUCAUUAAA